rnacentral:rRNA from 1 species
GACGAACGCUGGCGGCGUGCUUAAUACAUGCAAGUCGAACGAAGAGCGAUGGAAGCUUGCUUCUAUCAAUCUUAGUGGCGAACGGGUGAGUAACGCGUAAUCAACCUGCCCUUCAGAGGGGGACAACAGUGGGAAACGACUGCUAAUACCGCAUACGAUCUAAUCUCGGCAUCGAGGAGAGAUGAAAGGUGGCCUCUACAUGUAAGCUAGCACUGAAGGAGGGGAAUGCGUCUGCUUAGCUAGCUGGAGGGGUAACGGGCCAACAAGGCGAGGAUCAGUAGGCGGUCUGAGAGGAUGGACCGCCCAAUUGGGACUUGGACCCCGCCCAGGCUUCUACGGGAGGCAGCCGUGGGGGAUCUUCCGCCAUGGACGGAAGUCUGACGGAGCAACGCCGCGUGGGUGAUGACGGCCUUCGGGUUGUAAAGCUCUGUUAAUCGGGACGAAAGGCCUUCUUGCGAAUAGGGAGAAGGAUUGACGGUACCGGAAUAGAAAGCCACGGCUAACUACGUG